GCCGGCGUAGCUCAGUUGGUAGAGCGGCGCAUUCGUAAUGCGCGGGUCGUCCGUUCGAGUCGGACCGUCGGCUCCA
rnacentral:tRNA from 1 species